rnacentral:lncRNA from 1 species
AAAGGCCAUUGUGGGAAGGCCCAUAGCGGGUUGUCAAGUAACUCGUUCCCCAUUAGAGAAGAAAAUGUCUGAAUCUUGGUCACAGAUCGAGCCAAAUACCUUCAAAGUACGUGGACGAAAUUUUCUUAGGUGAGUUGUCCUUCUGAACAUUGCUCUCUUCCAUAAAUAACUCAUUAGCUGCACCCAAAUGUCAUGACAUAUACCCUUCAAUAUCAGUUUAUUACCUUUCGGCUAGUAAACUUAUAUAGUACGUUUUACUGUAACAAACUGUGUUUUGGCAGGGAUAAAAAGAAAGAGUUUGCUCCAAAUCUCGCUGCAUUUGAGCCGUUUGGAGUGGAUGUAUUCUUAUCUCCACGCAAAAUCCCUCACAUAGCUCGAUUUGUGGAACUCCCUGCCAUUGAUGCAUAUGGAGAAGUCCCUCCAAUCCUUGUUGUAAACCUUCAGGUAUAGCUUUCAAGAUGGCAAGUAGUUUGAAUAUUUUGCUGUUUUUUGCUCACAUAUAUUGUAGUGUUAAUUAUGGAGUUCCUUAUUUUAUUCUAUUUGCAGAUGUUUCACAAGCUGGAUCCAUAUCAACUGGUGUUACUCCAAGAUUUUCGAACAUAGCAGAUUAUAAUGGUAUGGAAUUUCAGCUGAUUUCUGAUGAACCCCAAAAUGAGGCGAGGGAUUCAGCUCAUUUGGAGAAACAAUGCAGAGAUGAAAGAGCUGGCAAUAAUGAUGAUAUGGAAAUUUCUCACAACUGUGGACUUCUAUCGAAUACCCUGCUUCCUUGUCUUGCUUGUGCUGAGUCCUUAGACCAAAAGAGAAAAUUGCAAAGCCCGAGAUCAGCAAGUACAAGGAAAAAACUGUCUCUUACUACUUCUUUCAAAAGGAGAGAAAGACAACCAAAUACUAUGUUGCGUAAGUGUGUUUUUUCUCUUUGCAUUUGGAUUAAAUGUUAUUGUGACUAUGCCCCUGUUUGGGCUCCAUUAUAAUGUGUUUAUGGGGAAAACAUAUUUUGGAAUAAUGAUUUUUUUAAAAGAAUGUGUGGUUAGAAAAGAAGAAAAAAUUUUGGGUUUACGUGUAAUAUUAUUUUAUUGAAGAAUGUGUGAUUAAAAAGAGGAAGAGAAAAAUGCAUUUUGGAUAAAAUGGAGUCCAAACAGGGGCAUAUAUGUAAGCGAGAAAGGGGAAAAAAAUGCUAUUCUUAAUAAUACUUAAUAACGAUCAAUGAUUAUGUGUCUGUUUUUAUGUUCAGCAUCUCCAAAGGCCAUUGUGGGAAGGCCCAUAGCGGGUUGUCAAGUAACUCGUUCCCCAUUAGAGAAGAAAAUGUCUGAAUCUUGGUCACAGAUCGAGCCAAAUACCUUCAAAGUACGUGGACGAAAUUUUCUUAGGUGAGUUGUCCUUCUGAACAUUGCUCUCUUCCAUAAAUAACUCAUUAGCUGCACCCAAAUGUCAUGACAUAUACCCUUCAAUAUCAGUUUAUUACCUUUCGGCUAGUAAACUUAUAUAGUACGUUUUACUGUAACAAACUGUGUUUUGGCAGGGAUAAAAAGAAAGAGUUUGCUCCAAAUCUCGCUGCAUUUGAGCCGUUUGGAGUGGAUGUGUUCUUAUCUCCACGCAAAAUCCCUCACAUAGCUCGAUUUGUGGAACUCCCUGCCAUUGAUGCAUAUGGAGAAGUCCCUCCAAUCCUUGUUGUAAACCUU